UUACACUUAAAGAUAUUUAAAUUGCUCAAUAUGCCACCAGAUGGCUUCAAUUUAAAUUCAGUUAAUUUGGAGUUCCCGUCGCAGCUCAGCGGUAACAAACCUGACUAGUAUCCAUGAGACUGAGGUUUUGAUCCCUGGCCUCACUCAGUGAGUUUAAGGAUUUGGAGUUGCUGUUGUUGUGGCUGUGGCAUAGGUCAGCAGCUGCAGCUCUGAUUCGAUCCUUAGCCUGGGAACUUCCAUAUGUUGUGGGUACAGCCCUAAAAAAGAAAAAAAAUUCAACUAAUUUAUUGAUUUGUAAGUGUAUGUUCUUAAUAAUUGCAGAUAUAUAUUCAUUAGUGUUCAUUCCAAAGUGGGUGGAGGGGAGAACUGUGGAUUUUAACCUCUGUAGUUCUCCCUUAUAGGUCUUCCCUUAUAUUUGUUAUAGCUAAAAACACACAAAUUUUAGUGAAAAUAUUUUUCUAACUACCUAUUUUCUUCCCUUCUCAUAUAUGUGCCAAUUUGUAAAAUUCUAGUAUCCUAAAUUUUCAUGUGAGAAACCUGUAUCUGGUAUAAAGAAAGACUCUUACUAAUUCUUAUUUUAUUCUUUGACCCAAAGUAUCAUAAAUACUUUUCUCUAUGCCUAAUAUUCCCACAGGUUUUUGUGUUUUGUGUUUUGUUUUAUUUAAACUACUUUUGGGAGUUCCUGUCGUGGCGCAGUGGUUAACGAACCCGACUAAGAACCAUGAGGUAGUGGGUUUGAUCCCUGGCCUCACUCAGUGGGUUAACAAUCUGGCAUUGCCAUGAGCUGUGGUGUAGGUUGCAGACGUGGCUCGGAUCUGGCGUUGCUGUGGCUGUGGCUGUGGCUGUGGCUGUGGCUGUGGCGUAGGCCGGCACCUGUAGCUCUGAUUGACCCCUAGCCUGGGAACCUCUAUAUGCUACGGGUGCGGCCCUAGGAAAAGACAAAAAGACCCCCCCCCCAAAAAAAAAACCCCAAAAAACCUACUUUUAGACCAAGGCUAGUCUCCAAGUCUCUGCCAUCUAGUGGCAAUAUUGAAGACAUACUGGUUUCCUACACACCUCAGAGUGCAUAAAUAUUGGUAAGCUGGCCAAGAAAUAUUAAGAAUCAUAAACAAAUUAAUGAUUAAUCUUUGUAUUUACUCUUUAGUUCAAAGUACUGAGCUAUAUGUUUACAUAACACUUUUUUAUGACUUUAUUAGCCUUUUUUAAAAAAAUGUUAACUGCCUGAAAUAUAAAACCUGGGACUUCAAGACAUAUUAAUUUAUUAUUAGUGUCUAACCCCUUAUAACUAGGCAGCAGAUGGAUUUUACAAAGACAUUCAUUUCUGUUUGCAGUGUAAGCAGAAGACAAUAAGAAUUUGUAAGUUUUUCUCAGUUUUUGUAUUACCUACAGUCAAUUUAAGUUCUUAAGUUCUGAUUUAUAUAUAAUAUAUGUAUAUAUAGAUGGAUAACAUUAUGUUUGUCAUAUUAAAAUCUCAUUCCUUAAGAUAUGUAAAAUCUAUUGUUGGUAAUGUCUUUAUUGGCAACAUUAUAAUAAAGUUUUUUAAAAGCCACUUUAUAAUAAGUAUAUUACAUUACUCAUAAGUUAUGCCUAUUUGAGUGAUCUACUUUCAUAAAAUUUGCAGCAUAAUGUUUGAUUUAGAUCACCUAAUUUUAUUCAAGGACAGAAAAAUACUUGUUUAAUUAAAAGUGGAAAGUGCCCAAGGUUAGUUUAAAAAGUAAUAUUAAAUACAAGCAUUUAAAAUGGAAAUGAGGUGAUUUGUUUACAUCAUGGACACAUUUUAGCUCACUCCUGAGUAAAUGUUAAUUUUUAAAAAAGAAAAUCAUGUCAGACAUGUAGGCAACAUAUUCAGUAAUAACUUGGGCAGGGAUUUUCAUAAAUCAUGCUUCCAGAUACUCAGCUGUAGCAUUUAUAUUCAAAUGAAUCCAAAUCUCAUUAUUAUGGAUGAAUUUAGAGAGGAUAAGUUUAGAACUUAAUCCUCAAUAGAUUAUCCUGUUUGGAACUGACACUGGCAUACUGUGACUCUUUCCAUCUCUUCAGAAUAAUUAGUGUGUGUGUUUGUAAAUUAUAAAAUCAUUCAUUUGCAAUGUAGCUGCACAGGGGAGGGGGUGCAGAGGCUAGUGAAUACCACGUGACGAAUGCAUCCUUUUUCUGCCCAAAUGUCAUUGAGUAGUUUGUGAUGUGUACAAGAACCAAACCCCUAUUGUUUCGAUUUGUGUAUGCGUUUGCCUAUUCUUUGUGUGUGAUUAACAAUCAGUUUCCAGUGUUGAUGAGUUUCCAGCAGAAGUUUGCUUGAUAUGCACACAGAAAGAAAUAUUUUAAUUUUCUCAGAAAGAUCUACACAUUUUGUGCCUUAGAAGCCUGGAUCUUAUCCUCUUGUUGUUUGAAUGCCAAGGCCAGACAGACAGCUAAACGAACCCCAGCCCAGAAAUCUGUAUAAAUAAGGACUUGUAAAAAGAGAGAGAAUGGACAAUGAAGGGGUGGACAGAAAAUGCAACGUUCAGUCUUGUAAUGGAGGCUGUUCUUUGAAAAUCUGUAAGGUGAUGGUUUUCCCUAAGAGUGAAUAUAUGAGAAAAGAAACAGAUGUCUUUGAACUGUCUCUGAUGACGUUCAUUAUUAAUAAGAAGAGGAAAUUCAAGAAAGGUUUCACAAAUGUCAACAGAGAUAUUAUGAAAAAAAUACAGGAGUAAUAGUUGUCUGUGAAGCCACAGUACAAAGUGGGAAGAGUCGUCACCAGUUCACAGGAACCUGCAGAAGCCAGAGGGGAAAGAACAGAUUUCUGGUAACCUUGGAUUCUAGUCCAAAGGAUGGGGCUGCUGGAGUCAUUACCACUUGGUGACAGAAGAGGGAAGCAGAGAGCCACCAGGGUGGCCUGGUAGAAUUCAAAGUCAUUUUGUGGCAGGAGAAUGCUAGGGCUGGUAGGAGGGCCAGGAAGCCUCUCCAUGAUUGUUCUAGAAGCUCCAACUGGGCUGAUCAAGUGGUAAGGGUCUGCAGGGAAUGCUCCAGCAUGAUCCUUUAGCCUUAGAAUGCCUUCCUUAGGGGACCUUUCAAGUACCCACUUUAGCGUGGCUGCCAACCUGUAGCUCAGAUCCUAAGGCUGAGGCUGUAGUGCUUACUCAGAGCCUGUGAGUCCCAUUUAGCUGCGUUAGGGGCAUGGCACCAGCAGUGAUUAACUGUGGCUGGUGGCUGUCACCACCUUCCAUAUGGCCCCCACACCUCAAGGCUGUCUCUAGGGGGUCACACUUGGCAUUAAUUUCUGUGUGACAGCUGCUGAACUCCAUCUGUCUGAUGUAAACUUAAUUUCAGUACUAUUCAUUUUAGGACAAUUUAAGUACUCCAGAAGAAGUGGAACCUUUCCCUUCCCUCAAGGCUGUUUUUGGAAAAUUUGCAAGGGGAUGAUUUUGGCCAGUGGUUUUGUCACUCUUAUUCACCUGGAGUGUGAUGGGCACACCACUGUGGGGACCAAGGUCAAGUUCAAGCUUGUGAGCCAAGGUAGGAGCCAGCUAAUAUAUUGUGCCAGGAAGGUGGGGUUUAGACUCUUUAUAUUCUUCUAGGAACGGUGGCACUUUUUAUCAAGAUCAAUGAACUAUUCAUUGUGUCUGCCACGAAUGGGCAGCCCUGGCACAAUCAUGGACUGGGCCAGGGAGGUUUAAGGCCCUGGACAUAGUGAUUGGCUGGUUGUUGAUGUGUUCGUUAGGGGCUUAUUGAGGUCUACCUUCAAUGAUGUGUUUGAACCAGCUUGUCCUGACUCCUGAGAGCCCACUGUUAGCAUCUCGAUUAUAUCACAUUGGUAGCUUGAAAUUGGCCAAGAAGCCCAUUUUGCUGACAGCACCUUCCCUGCAUAGCUGGAGGAUGUAUAGUAAAUCUGGCAGGAGGUAUGGGUGCCUCAGAGUCCUGCUAUUGGCUCCACCUCCUGUGUCAUUCUCUUGAGUUCCUUUGCUCCAUUAGCUUGGCUGAGAUUUGGAUUUAGCUGGUGUUUGAUUUCAACCUCUCUGCCCAGCACUCCCUUUGAAAUCAAGCAGGGUCCUGUGGGGCUCCUGGGCACAAAAGCUGUUCUGUGUUCACCCCCACCCCCAUGCCCCAUUUCCUGUUUGUAGGAAAUAGGCUUCAUUCAGCCUCCAUGACCUUCCCUGAGUUUCAAAGGGCAGGGUCACACCAUUGCUAAUCUGGGAAUGGUGGGGAUGAGGAGAAAAAGGAGGAGCAAUGAUGAAGCAUAGUGCAGACUGGAGCAGGGUCCUGGUUCUUCCUCAAAGAAUACACGUGACUGUAUCUUUGAGCUCUUCUACAGAACUAAAACCCUCAGCAAAUAGAAGAUGUUAACUACUUGAUGAAGCACACUUCCUUUCAGAAAGGAGGACUACCAGAACCAGUCCUGAGGCUACUAAACACUAAAUUUGAAGAAGAAUGAAAGUUUGCACCUAUACUGAUCUUUAUCUGUGGCUCUAUUUUCCACUCCAAAACUAUAAGACCACCUCCUAUUCUCUCCCCAAAGAAGGCACAGUCUUUAGGGCUUUAGCCUGCUAUGGUCUCCUUUGCCUGGCAAAGCAGCUGAAACUGACCCUUAUGCCUUGAACCUAGCCAGAACCCAGACUGGGACUUGAACUCACAUUUUUAAAAAUUAGAAUCACUCAUAUGGUAUCUAGACUUACUGAGAUUCAGGUUCUUUGUGCCUUAGCACAGAAGGAAUCCAGUGAGAGACAAAGCGAUAGGCAAGAAAUAGCUUUAUUAAGAUAGGAUACUUGUGGAAUUCCCAUUGUGGCUCAGCGGUUAUCAAACCUGACUAGCAUCCAUGAGGAUGUGGGUCCAAUCCCUGGCCUCGCUCAAUGGGUUAAGGAUCUGGCGAUGCCAUGAGCUGUGGUGUAGCUCGCAGACGUGGCUCGGAUCCCGAGUUGCUGUGGCUGUGGCAUACGCUGGUGGCUACAGCUCUGAUUCAACCCCUAGCCUGGGAACCUCCAUAUGCCAUGCGGCCCUAAAAAGACAAAAAG
rnacentral:lncRNA from 1 species